GAGAGAGUAAUGAGAUAAAAACAGUUCUUUUUAAGUGCAUUUAAAUUUCAAUAAUCUUUUUAACAACCAAAGGAGGGAGAGAGCAAAGAGCCCACUAGUCUAGUGGUUUGAAGCAAUUGCUCACUCCAAGAAAAUGUUCUAGGUUCAAGUCCUAACAUAUGUGUAGUAUGUGUGAGUUUAGUUUACUAUUGCCCCUCUUAAUAGGAAGGGUCCUUAAAAACAAGGAAGGAGAGAGAAAAUCACUACUUCCCUUGAGCCAACAUCAGUAUUCAUUGAGUAAAAUGCUUAUGGUCGGUGGCUUCUCACCCUAAUUUUCCUCUCCUCUCCUCUCUCUCCCUCCUCCCUUCCCCUUCUCUUUCCUAGUUUUCCCCUCUCCCCUCUCUCCAUUGUCAUCUUUCUAACUCUCUCUCCCUCCUCCGUCUCCGUUUAGAUUGUGGGUCCUCUUGCCCAUAUAUGUUUGGAUCUUGGAAUUUGUUUGUUUGUUUUGUGUGUUUUUUUGUAGGUUAUUGGUGGCUUUAUGUUGCUAUUGGAUCUUUUACUUGAUUGUGUUUGUGAUUUUCUUGUUGUUGGGAUGGAUGGGUUGUGGUAGCUGCCGACCCAGCUUCUUUUGUUUUUGUUAUGUUAUUGAAGCAUUCACUGCAAAUCACCGUAAUCACCAGGAUGUAGUUGUCAUUUGGUCCACGUACACAAGGUUUUGCUCAAGUCACUACGAAAAAAGUGGCACAUUUAAUCACCCCAGCAAAUGUCACAAAAUAAUGGUGACUGUUGCCACUUUUUUUGUUUUUUGUUUUUUGUUUUGUUUUUGUUGUGAGUUCUGGAUUUGAAGUUGCAAAAUUGAAAGUUGACUGUUUGUGUUAGAUAAAGUUUAGUUGGUGUGACACUAUGGGUUUAGCCAGUAUAGUGCUACGAGUCUUUUCGGUUUGCCGGAGAGAAUGUUAAGUGGUGUUCUUGUUUCUUUGUUUGGUGUAAUCUAAUGAUUCUCACUCUUUAGGAGUUGCUGAAGUUUGCGUUUUACUUUUUCAACUUUUCGAUAUGGAUUUAUCGUUGCACACGGUGGAUCUGUAUUGUAAGUAUGAGUAUAUGUGCUUUUGUUUGCCG
rnacentral:lncRNA from 1 species